AUGUUCCAGGAAACUGCCGUUCUUGACAAGGCAAAUCAUGUGCCGAGCCAAAAACCCUAUUUUGUUAUUGAUCAGCCUGAGGAAGGAAGCAAACUUGUGACAGAACCCAGACCGCAUUGGCCCUGCGACCUCAUCCCUCGUAACAAGCAACCAAAUCAUUGGCGUUAAUCGAACAUGUUUGAUGUUUUAUUCGUUUUUUAUAAAGUUGCUAGUUUUUGUGCUCAUUUGGGUUUCCCACUUUCUAAAAACAGAAAAAAAAGACAAAUUCCGGGGGAGGGGGUGUUGACGGUGGUCAACAGGAGCCAUUCUACCUGAACAACGACCCAUCCCCAUGGACACAUUUGGUUAAACAUUUGUUCAGAUCGCCUUCACACAGCAUAACCAGAGCAGGUGGGCUUUCUCUAUUCAGAAGAUCAGGGCCGGGUAUUGAUCGGGGAGGGGCUUGGAACGUGCCUGUGUAAACACAACCAAAAGAUUAAUUUGAUUAUAAUCUGAUUGUUGAUCGCACAUUGGAGAAAUUUGCUGGACAUUUUGAAGACACAUUUUUUGUUGUCGUCAAAAGUUUGUCACCUUGCAGUGACAGUGCAGCACUUUGGUUGUCUGAGAAAAUUGUGGUUUCAGACAUAACGCGCAAUUCUUAAAGAAAUUAACUCGCGAUUGCCUUAUGGCUUUACAGGUAUGUUUCAUUUAAAAGAAUCAACCACAUACCCCUUCACCCCUGAGCAUGACGAUGUCACAGUCAAUUAAAUUGCCACAAAAAACAAGAUUCAACUAUUUCAUCCGUGUUACAUCCUCUGACCAUUGAUGAUUCUUAGACCUCAUUUUGGCCUCAUUACUGCUCACAUUUUAUGACAAUGUCCCUUCCUGACCAGACAUUUUUUAAAUAACUUUUAAAGUACGAUUUUAAAAAGCAAAAAUGUGUUUGUAAUUUCUUUGUAGAUUGAAAAAAAAUCAAAUUGUUGAGAAUUGAUCAGAAGUCAUUUGUUCCAUGCUUUUCUUACUUAUGGAACAGUGUAAAGGUUGACUCGGUAAUUACUCAGCUGGAAGUAUUUUGUAAUUAAAAUGAAUAAAAAGUAAAAAAAGAUGCCAUUUUGCCUGUAAUUGUGUUUCUAAGAAGCAGAAUUCCACAUUUGACCACACACCUCAUGAGUUGACUUUAGUGCUUUUAAAACGGCAUAAAACUGAACGCUUUACUUUAUUCCCACAUUUCCCCUCAUUACUCAUGCUCUUUAGAAAAUUAAACUGCAUACUUGUGGCUUGCAAAAAACAGCUGCGCUUGUAUGUUCCAAGAAACCUGUUAAUUAUAUUAUUCCUCAAAGCACUUCAGUCAACAGUUUAAAGAUUGUCAAAUAAUUAAAUGUGCGCAAGAAAAUGAUUUUCUUUUGUAAAAAUGAAUGAGAAAGUGUUGACAGGACAUUGCCGAGUCAGCCUUUACCGAGUCUCCCCCGUCAAAUAACAGCGUUUCAGUCCGGCUCCAUCCCUCCCUGCCCCUUUUAUUUGUUAAAUCAGAUCGAUCUGCUGCCAUUUCAAUCGGAUCAGUAAAAAAAAAAGUUCAGAAUAAAAUAUAUUUUGAUAUUAAGUGUUUGUCGUUGCCCUUUUCUGAUGUGUGACGCUUAUUCAAUGCCUGGAAACGCAAACUUGUAUUUCUUAAAACUGCUCUAAGCCUAGAUUUUAGAAAGGUGUUGCCAACGUUAGUGAAGGUGUCUACAUCUACAUAAUGCGUGUAUACUCUUACUUUUUUGGUCAAUCUUCCUUUUACACUCAAAUUACCCAUUCAUUGAAAAACUUAAUUUGAUUAUUUGACUGAAUGGGGUUUAAAGGGGUGAUAUUAUGCCACCAGUGGAGUGUGAUUUGCCAUAUCAGAACCUGUAUUGAAAUCUGCCUUUUCCUGUGUCUUAGUGACAUCACAAGUGAAAAGGCAGAUUUUCAAACAGCUUUUAAUGGCUAAUCACUCACCCCUGGUAGCAUACUCACACCCAUAAGAGAUUGUUAGCAAAACAUGCCGGUAGGGGUCACACAAUAAUUUUAUUUUGUUGAAAUAUCCAAAUGACCAAGUUGAAUGGAAGAAUAAUUAUAAUUUCUAUGAAGAUCAUUUGACACUUAAUUAUGGAACUUGGCCUCACAGACUGUUAAAUCCAUAAAAUAUAAAACUGAAAAAAAAAGUAAAACAUUGAUAACUUCCAAAACGAUUUUAAUGUGGUAGAUAAAUUAAGGCAUACUAACGUUUUUGCACAUACAAGUAAAUACAGUAAAAAAAAAAGUGGAAAAGACCCAACAGGACGCUACUAAAUACAUUAAAAACAGGAAAUACAAAUAUGAUAAAUAGAUGUAGCACCAU
rnacentral:lncRNA from 1 species